GCUGCAUUUAGAAGCAGAAUCUCAGAAGUGAAUAUAGAAUGUUUCUACUAAAGUUAUCAGUCUUUAUGAUUUUAGUACUAUAUGGUUACCCACGGGUCAUCAUUCAACAGACUCUUCUUUCCCUAACAAAGAUUGGAACAGGAAUAUCAACAGCCCGAAUCAAAUGUCAAGUAAAAAGAGAAAGUACAGACUCUUCAAUUGUUCACUGGUAUAUGCAGAAAGAAAAUGAAGCAAUAAAAAGGCUCCUGUAUAUAGCAGAUUUAAAACCUACUUAUGAUCCUGGCAUUGAAGAAAACAAAUUUGACUCUGACAAAAACUCAGAUAUAUAUACAUUGAUAAUACAACAAAUAAGAGUUGAAGAUGCUGCCACUUACUACUGUGCCAAUUGGGACUGGGAUACACAAUGACUGAAUGCAGCUCCCAGUCUGUACAAAUACAUAAGAUGCUUUGAAUCUGAUUUCAUUUUAUUUAACACACUCACGCUCUAGAUUUUUGGUUAUCAAAACAAAUCCAAGCUAUA